rnacentral:rRNA from 1 species
UACGUAGGCAGCAAGCGAUGUCCGGAAUUAUUGGGCGUAAAGCGCGCGCAGGCGGUUCCUUAAGUCUGAUGUGAAAGCCCACGGCUCAACCGUGGAGGGUCAUUGGAAACUGGGGAACUUGAGUGCAGAAGAGGAGAGCGGAAUUCCACGUGUAGCGGUGAAAUGCGUAGAGAUGUGGAGGAACACCAGUGGCGAAGGCGGCUCUCUGGUCUGUAACUGACGCUGAGGAGCGAAAGCGUGGGGAGCGAACAGG